AGAACGAACGCUGGCGGCAGGCCUAACACAUGCAAGUCGAACGCCGUAGCAAUACGGAGUGGCAGACGGGUGAGUAACGCGUGGGAACAUACCCCUCGGUUCGGAAUAACUCAGGGAAACUUGAGCUAAUACCGGAUACGUCCGAGGUUUUAAUUGACCUUGGAGAAAGAUUUAUCGCCGGAGGAUUGGCCCGCGUCUGAUUAGCUUGUUGGUGAGGUAAUGGCUUACCAAGGCGACGAUCAGUAGCUGGUCUGAGAGGAUGAUCAGCCACAUUGGGACUGAGACACGGCCCAAACUCCUACGGGAGGCAGCAGUGGGGAAUAUUGGACAAUGGGCGAAAGCCUGAUCCAGCCAUGCCGCGUGAGUGAUGAAGGCCUUAGGGUUGUAAAGCUCUUUUACCCGGGAAGAUAAUGACGGUACCGGGAGAAUAAGCCCCGGCUAACUUCGCGCCAGCAGCCGC
rnacentral:rRNA from 1 species